UUCGGUGCCCAUGGCGCUAGGGAAACACCUGUUCCCAUUCCGAACACAGAAGUUAAGCCUAGCUGCGGCGAUUAUACUGCCAAAAGUGGGAAACUAGCACGGUGCCGAAU
rnacentral:rRNA from 1 species